UCUUUCUUUCCUGGGAGAAAGGGCUGUCGUUCGCUUGCGGGAGUCCUGCGCUGAAAUAGCCAGUCUGAGUGCCAAAAUUAAAUACGGAUGAAGAUUCCUCCCAAAUCAAAAUGUGCAGAGAGAAAGCUCCUGCUGCCCGUGGAGUGCCCAGAAGAGCCUAAAACCCAGGCCCUUGACCCUGAGGGUAAGCUCUUUCUUUCCUGGGAGAAAGGGCUGUCGUUCACUUGCAGGAGUCCUGCGCUGAAAUAGCAAGUCUGACUAAUGAAACUAAACACCGACGAAGAUUUCUCCCAGGGAGAAGGUGGCAAGACAGAAAGGUUCUGCUACCCGUGGAGUGGCCAGGCUGGCCCACUAACUAAACCUGAGACCCCCAGGGUAAGCACCUUCUUUCCGGAGAGAACAGGCUUUUGUUUGCUUGCAGGAGUGCCGCACUGAAAUUGCCAGUCGGACACCAAAACUCCAAACGAACAAAGAUUGCUCCCAGAGAAAACGCGCAAGGAGACAAAGCUGCUGGUGUCCAUGGAGUGCCAAGGCCGGCCCACCAACUGCACUUGAGACCCUGAGACUAAGCCCUUUGAUUCCUGGGAGAAAGGCUUGUUGUUGGCUUGCAGGAAUCCUGCACUGAUAUUGCUACUCAGACUCCAAAAUUGACUCCGAAUGAAGAUUCCUCCCAGACAAGAGGUGCCAUCAGAGAAAGCUCCUGCUCCCCGUGGAUUGCCCAGACCAGCCCACCAGCUGCACCUAAGCCCCUGAGGGAGCGCUGCGCUGAAAUUGCCAGUCCGACUGCAAAAAUUGAAGACAAACAAAGAUUCCUCCCAGACAGAAGGUGGCCAGGCCAAAAGCUCCUUCUACCCGUGGAGUGCCCAGGCCGACCUACAACCCAGACCUUAAAGCCAAGGGAGUGCCGCACUGAAAUUGCCAGUCGGACACCAAAACUCCAAACGAACAAAGAUUGCUCCCAGACAAAAUAUGCAAGGAGACAAAGCUCCUGGUGUCCAUGGAGUGCCAAGGCCGGCCCACCAACUGCACUUGAGACCCUGAGACUAAGCCCUUUGAUUCCUGGGAGAAAGGCUUGUUGUUGGCUUGCAGGAAUCCUGCACUGAUAUUGCUACUCAGACUCCAAAAUUGACUCCGAAUGAAGAUUCCUCCCAGACAAGAGGUGCCAUCAGAGAAAGCUCCUGCUCCCCAUGGAUUGCCCAGACCAGCCCACCAGCUGCACCUAAGCCCCUGAGGGUAAGCAUUUUCUUUCCUAGGAGAAAGCGCUGUAGUUGGCUUGCAAUAAUCCUGUGCUGAAAUUGCUCGUCUGACAACAAAAUGGGAUCGGAAUGAAGAUGGCUCCCAAAGAAAAGGAGCCAUCACAAAAAGCUCCUGUUUCCCUUGGAGGGCCCAGGCUGCCCCACAAAGUGCACGUAAGACCUUGGGGGUAAGCCCUCUUUGUCCUAGCAGAAAGGACUUUGGUUCG